rnacentral:rRNA from 1 species
AUUGAACGCUGGCGGCAUGCUUUACACAUGCAAGUCGAACGGCAGCGCGGGCUUCGGCCUGGCGGCGAGUGGCGAACGGGUGAGUAAUGCAUCGGAACGUGCCCAGUAGUGGGGGAUAGCCCGGCGAAAGCCGGAUUAAUACCGCAUACGACCUGAGGGUGAAAGCGGGGGCCGAAAGGGCUCGCGCCAUUGGGACGGCCGAUGUCGGAUUAGCUAGUUGGUGGGGUAAAGGCUUACCAAGGCGACGAUCCGUAGCUGGUCUGAGAGGACGACCAGCCACACUGGGACUGAGACACGGCCCAGACUCCUACGGGAGGCAGCAGUGGGGAAUUUUGGACAAUGGGGGCAACCCUGAUCCAGCCAUGCCGCGUGCGGGAAGAAGGCCUUCGGGUUGUAAACCGCUUUUGUUCGGGAAGAAAUCCUCUGGGCUAAUACCCCGGGGAGAUGGCGGUACGGGAAGAAUAAGCACCGGCUAACUAUGUG